GAUGAAGAACGUAGCGAAAUGCGAUAAGUAAUGCGAAUUGCAGAAUUCCAGUGAGUCAUCGAAUCUUUGAACGCACAUUGCGCCCUUUGGUAUUCCGAAGGGCAUGCCUGUUCGAGCGUCAUUAUCACCCCUCAAGCCCUCGGCUUGGUGUUGGACGGUUUGGUGGAGGCCCCCUCGGGGGUUCCUGCCCCUCCCAAAGACAAUGACGGCGGCCUCGUUGGACCCCCGUUACACUGAGUUCUUCACGGGACACGUAUCGGACACAUGGGUUUACGGGACACGGUCUGCCUCCCCUCAGGGAGAAUCUUUCUAAGGUUGACCUCGGAUCAGGUAGGGAUACCCGCUGAACUUAAGCAUAUCAAUAAGCGGAGGA
rnacentral:misc_RNA from 1 species